AGUAAGUCCUAAAUAGUGGGACAACUGGGACCCUACCCAGGGAUCCAGAGCUGGGAGCGGUCUUGUUUUUUAGACAAAUCUCUCCUCCUACCACACGUGACAGAACGGCAGAGAGCCGCCAAGAGAGACACCGCAACGCAUCAGCCGGGAUACAAAGGCUCGGCGCCACCGCAUCCUCUGGAGGAUCGCGGAGCCUCCCGCGCUCGGCGUCUGCAGAGUUUGCGCAGGGCGCUGCCGCGAGGCGCGCCGCUCCCGGGCCCGCAGGGCGGUGCCGCGCAGCGCAGGGAGCGGGAGCAGGGAGCGCGCGCCGCCUGCCCAGCGCGCCUGCCCACCCAGCGCCGCCAGAGCAGGGGCGCCGAUCCGCACGCAGCCGAGCUGGGCCGCCUCCGCUGCCACCACCACCGUGCCGCAUGGCCCUCGCCCGCUGCAGGGAGCCCCGCAGCGACGUGAACCAGGGCUGUGGGUUGAAAACCACCUAUCAUGUGCUACACACAUAUUGUUGAGUCAUACUGAUAAUUUAAAGGCAGGUAGUAUUU
rnacentral:lncRNA from 1 species